GGUUAAGCGACUAAGCGUACACGGUGGAUGCCCUGGCAGUCAGAGGCGAUGAAGGACGUGCUAAUCUGCGAAAAGCGACGGCGAGGUGAUAUGAACCUUUGACCCGUCGAUGUCCGAAUGGGGAAACCCAGUGUGUUCCGACACACUAUCGUUAACUGAAUACAUAGGUUAACGAGGCGAACCGGGGGAACUGAAACAUCUAAGUACCCCGAGGAAAAGAAAUCAACCGAGAUUCCCCCAGUAGCGGCGAGCGAACGGGGAGCAGCCCGGAGUCUGAAUCAGCUUGUGUGUUAGUGGAACGGUCUGGAAAGUCCGACGGUACAGGGUGAUAGUCCCGUACACGAAAAUGCACAGGUUGUGAACUCGAAGAGUAGGGCGGGACACGUGGUAUCCUGUCUGAAUAUGGGGGGACCAUCCUCCAAGGCUAAAUACU
rnacentral:rRNA from 1 species